AAUGGCGAAUGACGAUUGAAUUAAUAGAUUUUAUGACAAAAUAUCAAGAAAUACAUUCCAUUGGACGGCGGGUAGCUAGGGAAUAUUCAAAAGUAAAUAAGGCAAAGGUCUAGUCUAUCUGCUCGUGGAUCUUUUUUAAGAGAAGAGAGAACUGCAGGUAUUCAUAAAAAUAUCCCCUAGCUGAUACUAUGAUAUCCAAAAUAGUUUCACUUCACUAUCAUUAGUUAUUCGUUU